AAAUCUGCAGGCAGAGUGAAGAGCUCAAGGCAGAGAUGGUAAUAGACAAGUUUUUCUUUUAAAUUAUUAUGAAUUUUUUGAACCAUUGCUACCGUAUUUAUCAAGUUGUGUGUUUCAUGUUUUAAUUGGUCGAUUAUAAUAAUUUCAAGCACAUUCGCGGUGAUUCAAAAUUACGUGACAGUUUUAGGUUACUGGCUGCUGAAUAAAAAAUUGAAUUCGGUUCAGUUCUUGAUAAAAUUUAAGUUUUUGAACUUCUGGAAGUAUUUUAAGAAUCAGGAUAAAGUUAGAAUAGUAUUUCAAAAUAUUUAGUAUUGAUAAACUUCUGCAUGGAUAUCAGAGGUUAUGUUUCUUUUCACCAAAAGAAGCCGUGCAGAAUCAACAAGUGAAAAUACUGUGCUGAGUUUUCAAUAUUUUAUUAGGCCUAUACUAUGGAAAUCUACAAUAUUCAUUAUGAAGACUGUCAGACUUCAGCAUUGAUUUGAAACGUCAUCGGUGAGGACGAGUAUCAAACGAUUCAUAACGUCUCAAUCAUGUAAAAAUGGACGAUCAACUGAUACAAAACCUCUUGAAAUCGCUGUGGAUCCGCCUUCUCUGAGCCGCUGUCAGGAUGAUAUUUCUUGACUAGUUGAACAAAAGCCUGUCGAACGGUUUCCUGGUCACUUCCAUAAGGCACCCC